CGACCGGCGCACGGGUGAGUAACGCGUAUGCGACCUGCCCGUUGCAGGGGGGAUAAUCGGGAGAAAUCCCGUCUAAUACCGCGUAACGCCGCGGGGCUGCAUGGCCCUGCGGCCAAAGGGAGCGAUUCCGGCAACGGAUGGGCAUGCGUGACAUUAGCUAGUUGGCGGGGCAACGGCCCACCAAGGCGACGAUGUCUAGGGGUUCUGAGAGGAAGGUCCCCCACACUGGUACUGAGACACGGACCAGACUCCUACGGAAGGCAGCAG
rnacentral:rRNA from 1 species